GACGAACGCUGGCGGCGUGCUUAACACAUGCAAGUCGAACGGCAAGGCCCUGCUUUUGUGGGGUGCUCGAGUGGCGAACGGGUGAGUAACACGUGAGUAACCUGCCCUUGACUUUGGGAUAACUUCAGGAAACUGGGGCUAAUACCGGAUAGGAGCUCCUGCUGCAUGGUGGGGGUUGGAACGUUUCGGCGGUUGGGGAUGGACUCGCGGCUUAUCAGCUUGUUGGUGGGGUAGUGGCUUACCAAGGCUUUGACGGGUAGCCGGCCUGAGAGGGUGACCGGCCACAUGGGGACUGAGGUACGGACCAGACUCCUACGGGAGGCAGCAGGGGGGAAUAUUGCACAAUGAGCGGAAGCCUGAUGCAGCAACGCCGCGUGCGGGAUGACGGCCUUCGGGUUGUAAACCGCUUUCGCCUGUGACGAAGCGUGAGUGACGGUAAUGGGUAAAGAAGCACCGGCUAACUACGUG
rnacentral:rRNA from 1 species